AGCCUCAUGCGAAGAUCCAUUAUCGCAUGCGGCUGUCUUAAAGCAGUCGCAUGCGAUAAUGGAUCUUCGCAUGCGGCU
rnacentral:pre_miRNA from 18 species